GGAUGUGAGGGCGAUCUGGCUAUGACAUCUGUCACCCCAUUGAUCGCCAGGGUUGAUUCGGCUGAUCUGGCUGGCUAGGCGGGUGUCCCCCUCCUCCCUCACCGAUCCAUGUGCGUCCCUCCCGAAGCUGCGCGCUCGGUCGAAGAGGACGACCUUCCCCCCCGAGGAGAGGACCGGUCUUCGGUCAAGGGUAUACGAGUAGCUGCGCUCCCCUGCUAGAACCUCCAAACAAGCUCUCAAGUUUAGAAAUAUAGGAAAUGGAAUAAAAAUAAAACAACCUUUCUCUGUCUCACUUUUGGAAAAGAUUUCUAAUUGUUAAAAUAAUUCCUCUUU
rnacentral:snRNA from 1 species